UCUGGAUAAUACACCGAAAGGGGUACUAAUACCGGAUAUCUUUGUUUUCUUUAAGGUAUACAAAGAAAGGUGGCCUCUGACAUAAGCUAUCGCAUGAAGAGGGGUCUGCGUACCAUUAGCUAGUAGGUGGGGUAAUGGCCUACCUAGGCGACGAUGGUUAGCGGGUCUGAGAGGAUGAUCCGCCACACUGGCACUGAAACACGGGCCAGACUCCUACGGGAGGCAGCAGUGAGGAAUAUUGCGCAAUGGGGGAAACCCUGACGCAGCGACGCCGCGUGAGUGAGGAAGGCCUUCGGGUCGUAAAGCUCUGUCAAGAGGGAAGAAGUGCAUAGCGGUUAAUACCCGUUAUGUUUGACGGUACCUCUAAAGGAAGCACCGGCUAACUCCGUGCCAGCAGCCGCGGUAAUACGGAGGGUGCAAGCGUUGUUCGGAAUUACUGGGCGUAAAGGGCGCGCAGGCGGCCUGUCAAGUCAGAUGUGAAAGCCCACGGCUUAACCGUGGAAGUGCAUUUGAAACUGACGGGCUUGAGUACCAGAGGGGAAGGUGGAAUUCCCGGUGUAGAGGUGAAAUUCGUAGAUAUCGGGAGGAAUACCGGUGGCGAAGGCGACUUUCUGGCUGGAUACUGACGCUGAGGCGCGAAAGCGUGGGGAGCAAACAGGAUUAGAUACCCCGGUAGUCCACGCCGUAAACGAUGUGAACUAGAUGUAGGAGGUGUUGAUCCCUUCUGUGUCGCCGCUAACGCAUUAAGUUCACCGCCUGGGGAGUACGGUCGCAAGAUUAAAACUCAAAGGAAUUGACGGGGGCCCGCACAAGCGGUGGAGUAUGUGGUUUAAUUCGAUGCAACGCGAAGAACCUUACCUGGUCUUGACAUCCCGGGAAUUCCUAAGAAACUAGGAAGUGCCUUCUUUGAAGGAGCCCGGAGACAGGUGCUGCAUGGCUGUCGUCAGCUCGUGUCGUGAGAUGUUGGGUUAAGUCCCGCAACGAGCGCAACCCUUACCUUUAGUUGCCAUCAGUUUGGCUGGGCACUCUAAAGGGACUGCCGGUGUCAAACCGGAGGAAGGUGGGGAUGACGGUCAAGUCCUCAUGGCCCUU
rnacentral:rRNA from 1 species